rnacentral:rRNA from 1 species
UACAGAGGGUGCAAGCGUUGUCCGGAAUCACUGGGCGUAAAGGGCGCGUAGGUGGCGGGCCAAGUCCAUGGUGAAAGCUCGAUGCUCAACAUCGAGUCGGCCACGGAUACUGGUUCGCUCGAGCACUGUAGAGGCUAAUGGAAUUCCGGGUGUAGCGGUGGAAUGCGUAGAGAUCCGGAAGAACACCGGUGGCGAAGGCGGUUAGCUGGGCAGUUGCUGACACUGAGGCGCGACAGCGUGGGGAGCAAACAGG